CUUCGUCGAUCAGUUGCGGGCAGAUCAGAUGGACGUGCGAGUCUAUGCCGCCCGCCGUGACGAUCUUGCCUUCGCCCGCGAUGAUUUCCGUGCCGGCGCCAAUGACGAUGGUCACACCAGGCUGGAUGUCGGGAUUGCCGGCCUUGCCGAUGGCCAUGACGCGGCCGUUCUUCAACCCGAUGUCGGCCUUGACGAUGCCCCAAUGGUCGAGGAUCACGGCAUUGGUGAUGACGGUGUCGGCGACGUCCGCGCCCAGGCGCUGGGACUGGCCCAUGCCGUCGCGGAUG
rnacentral:sRNA from 1 species